rnacentral:rRNA from 1 species
AUUGAACGCUGGCGGCAGGCCUAACACAUGCAAGUCGAACGAGUGGCGGACGGGUGAGUAAUGUCUGGGAACCUGCCUGAUGGAGGGGGAUAACUACUGGAAACGGUAGCUAAUACCGCAUACCAUCGGAUGUGCCCAGAUGGGAUUAGCUAGUGGGUGGGGUAACGGCUCACCAAGGCGACGAUCCCUAGCUGGUCUGAGAGGAUGACCAGCCACACUGGAACUGAGACACGGUCCAGACUCCUACGGGAGGCAGCAGUGGGGAAUAUUGCACAAUGGGCGAAAGCCUGAUGCAGCCAUGCCGCGUGUAUGAAGAAGGCCUUCGGGUUGUAAAGUACUUGCAGCAGGGAAGCGUUACCCGCAGAAGAAGCACCGGCUAACUCCGUGCCAGCAGCCGCGGUAAUUC